UCUCAGCUCACUGUAACCGCUGCUUACCAGGCUCAAGCGAUCUUUCCAUUCAGCCUCCCAUAGAGUAGCUGGGACUAUAAGCGUGUGCCAUUACACCUGGUUAAUUUUUGUAUUCUUUGCAGAGAUGGGGUUUCACCACGUAGCCCAGGCUGCUCUUGAACCCCUGAGCUCAAGAGAUCUGCCCAACUUGGCCUCCCAAAGUGGUGGGAUUAUAGACUUGAGUCACUGUGCCCAGCCCUAAAAUAUAUUUAUAGUAGAAAUUUUCUUUUCUGAGUUAAAUCUGGCCCCAACAGUAAAUGAAAGAUUGCUUAUAUGCUGCAGGGAGGCUGAUCAGACCACUCAGUAGCGAGGGCCUUAAAAUCUGUUUGUAGUCUUAGCGUAAGCUUUAAUUGCCAGUGAACAGUCCUUAUUUCUGUCCCUGCUACAUCCACUGCUUUUUAUUGUUUCUGCUCUUUCAGAACCAGAAUGGAUACAAGAGCAGGAAAUAAAGUUCACUUUAAAAAGACUGCCCCUGGGAGUUAGAACGACAUUCUGUAAGAAAACAUGCAUAAUCUACACAGGAUGGAGACAGCACCUCUGUCUGAUUGUCUUUUGGUUUAUGUUCCACCUGUGGUACAGCACUCAGAAGGCUCAGCCCCUAAAACAUUGAAUGAUACCGUAGUGUUUGGACCCAGCUCUUCAAAGUUAUGCAGGGAGCCAGAUCUUCGUAUUUCAAGGAGGACUGAACAUCGAAACGGUUGAUUCCUUCCGAUGCAUGCUACAAAA